rnacentral:lncRNA from 1 species
CAAAAAUGAACAUUUUAUGUGCACAAAGAUAGUAUCAUAAGAGGUGUGGCGUUUUGCCAUUGGAACCUGGGCAUACGGUCAUUUGUCCUGCAGUUUCUCGUGUACUGAAAGGUGGCGUGGAUCCUACAGUUUCUCGUGUACUGAAAAGCGGUGUGGAUCCUACAGCUUCUCUACUGAAAGGUGGCGUGGAUCCUACAGCUUCUCGUGUACGGAAAGGCGGCGUGGAUCCUACAGCUUCUCGUGUACGGAAAGGCGGUGUGGAUCCUACAGCUUCUCUACUGAAAGGUGGCGUGGAUCCUACAGCUUCUCGUGUACGGAAAGGCGGCGUGGAUCCUACAGCUUCUCGUGUACGGAAAGGCGGCGUGGAGCAGCACAAGGAGCUUGAGCGUUGCAAUGAGAAGUCAUGG